GGCUGGUGUGGCCUUAUAACCUAUUUGUAAGCCAAGUUCUUGUCUGCGGACGUCUGCUUGGCCCUAAAUAUGUGUGUCCUCGAAUCUUAGUGACCAAGUGAUCGCCAAGGCCGCAUCAGACAAGGGUGGGGGUGGUCGGUGCCUUUGUCUACAACGGAAGAUGGCGACGGGCAGGGUGUGAGAAAAUGGCCGCCAGGGUCACAUGUUUUGCUGAGUAUACCCACCUGAAAUGACUAGGAGAGUGAACUCCCUGAGACUAGGGGCCAUAUAUCUUCGCGCCCUCAGCAGGACCCAGCACAAGACUGGUACAAGGCACGCUUCAGCAAAUGUUUGUUAAAUGGGUUUUCUGUAUUCUUACUGGGUUUUUGUUGCUGUCGUUGUUCAUUUGAUCUGUCCUGGAAUGAGAAAGUAUUAAACAAGACUUCCAGUUCUAUGUUAAACAGUAGUUGGUGAGAGUGCAAAAAAUCAAAUUCCAGUCUGCCUGCCUCCAAGGCCUACAUGUUUGACCACCAUUCCACACUGCUCCAGUGAAGACUCACUCACAGACUGAUGGAAGACUGCUUAACCAAGAAAAAUGAUCUUAUCUCAUGCUUCAGUGAUAAAAUAAAAGCCAUCAGACAUGGGAGAAUUGUUCAAGGACUUUCAUCUUCCAACCACUGAAUCUCUAAACCUCCCAGUAUCUGUGUUCAUCUUUGUUUCAUUCCUUCCUGUUACAAUGAAGGGCCUGAGGACCUCUCCUUCUCUCUGAGGUCAAGUGCCCCAGACCCCAGCCUCCCCUUUCCCUUCCAUUAUUCCCUUUCUCUUCUGUGUUCCCAUCAGGUCCCUCUCUAUGGUCUCUGAGUCUUUCCCAGCAGCAAACAAGCAUAGUCUAGUAUCUCCCAUCUUAGAAAAAUCAUUCUUUGCCCCUCCUCCUACCAUCACCUUAGCUCUCUGGGCUCUGUUCCCAUUCACAGCCAUGUUUCACAAGGAAAUCGCCUACACACCUAGCUCCACUUCAGCAGGAUGGGGGGCAGUGUUUUAUUCCCUCUGACCUCAGGGAGGGUCAUGUAACAAUCUACCCUCCCACCAGCACUCUAUCCAAUUAUUCCUGCUUUUAAAAUUUUGUUUAUUUUUCAUGAUAAUACAUUAUAAAUUUUAUAAUAUACAUAUCUUUACAGUUUGAAUAAAUUAUAAAACAAAUACCUAUGUACCUGUACCCAUCACUCAGCUUCAAAAACAAAUCAUUUCUGAAUGACAAAACCCACCAUGUAGCCCUCCCCGGUCACAUCUCCUUCCCCUCCCUGAGGUAACCAGUGUCAUUUUUCAUGCCUUGCUUUUUUGUAUGGUUUUACAACAUA